CACGUAGGGGGCGAGCGUUGUCCGGAUUUAUUGGGCGUAAAGAGCGUGUAGGCGGCCUGACAGGUCUGCUGUGAAAACUCGAGGCUCAACCUCGAGAUGUCGGCGGAAACCGUCUGGCUAGAGUCCGGAAGAGGAGAGUGGAAUUCCUGGUGUAGCGGUGAAAUGCGUAGAUAUCGGGAGGAACACCGGUGGCGAAGGCGGGUCUCUGGGCAGUAACUGACGCUGAGGAGCGGAAGCGUGGGGAGCGAACAGG
rnacentral:rRNA from 1 species